rnacentral:rRNA from 1 species
AUUGAACGCUGGCGGCAUGCCUUACACAUGCAAGUCGAACGGCAGCACGGGUGCUUGCACCUGGUGGCGAGUGGCGAACGGGUGAGUAAUACAUCGGAACGUACCUUAUCGUGGGGGAUAACGCAGCGAAAGCUGUGCUAAUACCGCAUACGCCCUGAGGGGGAAAGCGGGGGAUCGAAAGACCUCGCGCGAUUAGAGCGCCCGAUGCCUGAUUAGCUUGUCGGUGGGGUAAAAGCCCACCAAGGCGACGAUCAGUAGCAGGUCUGAGAGGACGAUCAGGCACACUGGGACUGAGACACGGCCCAGACUCCAACGGGGGGCAGCAGUGGGGAAUUUUGGACAAUGGGGGCAACCCUGAUCCAGCAAUGCCGCGUGAGUGAAGAAGGCCUUCGGGUUGUAAAGCUCUUUUGUCAGGGAAGAAACACCGGCUCUAACACAGUCCGGGAAUGACGGUACCUGAAGAAUAAGCACCGGCUAACUACGUGCCAGCCGCCGCCGUAA